rnacentral:rRNA from 1 species
GAUGAACGCUGGCGGCGUGCCUAAUACAUGCAAGUCGAACGAACCAAUGAGGCCCUUGCUCCUCUCACGUUGCCGGCGGACGGGUCAGUAACACGUGCAUAACCUCCCUAUGAUGCGGAACGAGCUUCGGACCUGCGGCACUAAUGCCGGCUACUGUAUUGAACCACAGGUUUCACUGCUGAGUAACGGGAUUUCUCUCGCUUAUAGCUGGAUCCGCGCCUCACUAUCUAGUUGGUACGCUAACGACUUGCCAAGGUGACUAUGCGUAGCCGACCAGAGCGGGUGGUCGGCCACACUGGAAGUGAGACACGGUCCAGACUCCUACGGGAGGCAGCAGUAGGGACUCCUACGCGAUGGGCGAGAGCGUGACGGUGCAACGUCGCGUGAGUGAUGAAGGUCUGCGGAUCGUAAAGCGCUGUUAUAAGUGAAUAAGAAAUGUGUAAGUAGCUAGGAACGUAUUGACGGUACCUAAUCAGAAAGCCACGGCUAACUACGUG